GACUUAGAGGAGAACGGGAAACUCCUCUUGCCUCGCUUGUUAGAUAGAGAGAGAGAGCUGUCGGAAUCCAUAGACCACAGCCUUGUUCCUCUAUUGUGGAAGCAGGAUAAGAGAUAGAGAUGGAAGCCCAGGGACAAGCAAGGGUGGCGAUAAGCUCAAGGAGAUCAGCCUCGCGGUUCAGACGAGUGUGUGUGUUCUGUGGGAGUAGCCCCGGGAACAAGGCCAGCUACCAGCUCGCA
rnacentral:lncRNA from 1 species